rnacentral:rRNA from 1 species
AACGAACGCUGGCGGCAUGCCUAACACAUGCAAGUCGAACGAGACCUUCGGGUCUAGUGGCGCACGGGUGCGUAACGCGUGGGAACCUGCCCUUAGGUUCGGAAUAACUCCCCGAAAGGGGUGCUAAUACCGGAUAAUGUCUUCGGACCAAAGAUUUAUCGCCUUUGGAUGGGCCGGCGUUGGAUUAGCUAGUUGGUAGGGUAAAAGCCUACCAAGGCGACGAUCCAUAGCUGGUCUGAGAGGAUGAUCAGCCACACUGGGACUGAGACACGGCCCAGACUCCUACGGAAGGCAGCAGUGGGGAAUAUUGGACAAUGGGCGAAAGCCUGAUCCAGCAAUGCCGCGUGAGUGAUGAAGGCCUUAGGGUUGUAAAGCUCUUUUACCCGGGAUGAUAAUGACAGUACCGGGAGAAUAAGCUCCGGCUAACUCCGUG